rnacentral:misc_RNA from 1 species
AAUAGCUAACCUUUGGCACCCAACCCUCGUGCUUUAGGCCGUCUAACAGGAAGCAAAGGGUUGACCAUUCCUUGUGAAUCUUUUCCCAAUCCCAUGCCUUCAACAAAUCCCAUCUUUGCCAUCAUCUUCGACCCAAAUCCUUUAGUGUGCUCUUCAAAAGCACCAAUUUUUUUGGAUUUUCCCAAGGCUCCGGAUCCAGUUCUAGCGGCAGAUCCCCGGCUUGCCUGGUUGUCAUCAGCAGCAGAAGUUGAGGCCUCGGAGAACUCGAUGCCUAAUCCAAGUGAUUUUGGCCGUUUCAUCACUUCAAUGGGACGAGCCAUUCCUUGACCAUCUUUCCCUAAUCCUCCGCCUUCUACGAAUCCCAUUUUUGCCAUCAUUUUUGACCCAAAACCCUUCGUGUGCAGCUCAAAUGCACCAAUCCUAUCCCUACUUAUAUCCAUA